CUUUUUUCAAAUAGUAUCCUCAGAGAAUGAGACAAAAGCAACACAACAGGAAACACCUUCUGGUGUUGUAGGUCACAAUAUCUGAGUGUUUGAGUAAUAAAGUGCAAAUGGUUGCUAACCUUGUCCAGAGCCUGUAAACCUGGCUCUGGGUAGAAUGGCUUGGGUGUCUAUAAAGAGGACACCACCCUUCUUUGAAGCAGCUUACUGGAGG